AGCGCGAGCCGAGAGUGACGUCAGAGCAGCAGAGAGGAGCGUGCGCCGCGACCAGGCCAGCUGUGUGCGCCCUCUAUAUGUGCGCAGCUUUGAGGUGGCACAGAACAAGGAAGUGGAGUACAUGUCGCUAGGCUGAAGCCGCAAACAAAGACCAAACCGUCGACUCUUCCUACGAGCUGCCCUUCUCCUAUUUCCUUUUCUUCUUAACUCCUCCACACCCCCAUCUCCUCUCUUCUACUCCUGAUUUGUUCUGUCCUUCCAGCUCCAGUGCUCAUGGUUUCACGUAUCCUCAUGUGACCGACGGUCAAGAAGCUUCCUGAGAUUGAAAAGAUCCAACAAAGUGCCUCGCUGUUUGUGUGCGCUCCAUCAGCAUCCUCCGUGUGAGCCCUCAUCAGCUGCUCAUCACUGUCCUUGCCAAAACUGGGCCCAAACAUGGCCACUGUUCCUCCUGGGAUCCGCCUGCUGAGGUCCUUCAACAAGGACCAGUGGUACAGAGCUCUAACUUUCAUCCUCACCUUCCUGCUCUACACCAGCUUCCACCUCUCCAGGAAACCCAUUAGCAUCGUCAAGAGUGAGCUCCAUAAGAACUGCUCAUCAGUCAGUGAACUCACCACCAUUGCCUCCAGCAGCCAGCAUCCCUCACUGUCGUCCUUCCACAGAAGCACAGACUGUAGCUGGAAGCCAUUUGAUAAAAGGAACUACAAACAGCUGCUGGGAGCCAUGGACUACUCAUUCCUCUGUGCCUAUGCAGUGGGAAUGUACCUCAGUGGCAUCAUUGGGGAGCGCGUGCCAAUCAGACUGUACCUAUCCGUGGGCAUGCUGUUCAGCGGCCUGUUCACCUGCCUGUUUGGACUGGGUUAUGUCUACAACAUUCACAAUAUGGGCUUUUAUAUAUUCGUCCAGGUGGCCAAUGGAUUGGUCCAAACCACUGGCUGGCCCAGUGUAGUGACCUGCAUCGGCAACUGGUUUGGUAAAGGAAGGCGUGGACUCGUCAUGGGGCUGUGGAACUCUCACACCUCAGUUGGAAACAUCCUGGGCUCUCUGAUCGCCGGCUACUGGGUCUCCUCCAACUGGGGCCUGUCCUUCAUCGUACCAGGGCUCAUCAUCGCAGUCAUGGGCGUCGUCUGCUUUCUCUUCCUCAUCGAGCAUCCAAAUGACCUGAAAGUUAUGUAUGCCCAAAAUCCUUCUCGAGGCAAGAUUGUUCCGGCCAAGAGUUGGAAUGGCAUAAAUGGACACGCGUACAACAAAUCCCAGAGUUACGACACAGAGCUGUUGUUGCCGAGGGACGGUGUAUGUGUCGCCAUGCAGCCGCUCGUGGUGGUGAAGAGGGAUUCAGAGCCGUCCGCCAUCAGCUUCAUGGGAGCUCUACGCAUACCGGGAGUGAUCGAGUUCUCUUUUUGUCUGCUGUUUGCCAAACUGGUCAGCUACACCUUCCUCUUUUGGCUCCCUCUCUACAUUACCAAAACAGCUCACCUUGAUGCCAAGAAGGCUGGAGAUCUUUCCACCCUGUUUGAUGUUGGAGGAAUAGUUGGGGGGAUCUUGGCAGGAGUGAUUUCUGAUAAGUUGGGGAUGAGAGCCACCACCUGUGCAGUCAUGUUGCUGCUGGCUGCUCCUACACUGUACGGUUUCUCCAUGAUCAGCGAGUUUGGCUUGGGGCCAACCAUCGGCAUGCUGUUGGUGUGUGGAGGCCUUGUCAACGGGCCAUACUCCCUCAUCACCACGGCAGUGUCUGCUGAUCUGGGGACCCACAAAAGCCUGAAAGGCAAUGCCAGAGCCUUGUCUACUGUCACUGCCAUCAUCGAUGGCACAGGGUCUGUAGGUGCAGCACUGGGCCCCCUGCUGGCAGGGCUGCUGUCUGCAGGUGGCUGGGAUCAGGUCUUCUACAUGCUGAUGACUGCUGACUUCCUUGCUCUGUGUGUGAGUGCUCUACAAACUCUAAGCUGAUUCAUCAGGCUCUAUCACUGAAUGCACACAAAUAGAAUACCAGAGCUUUUGCUUCGCCUCGUGUCAAAGGAGCUGACCUCCAGCCAGUCCCGUCCCAUCUCGGCUGUAGAGUUGAAGGAGCAUUGAGCCCCUGGAUUGCUCUCCCUCUGUGUAGGAGGGAACAGUGCACACAGGACCAUGCCCUGUGUCCCUGAGGAAGAGCAGGAAGUGGUAGAACAGCAGCAACAAUCUCUGGGGGAGUCAUCUGCACACAGUACUUGAUACUACUGAACUUUCUUGGCCUCUUUGUAACCUCUUGCGCUGUUGACCUAUUUCCUAUUGCAGUUCUUUAGAGCUGGAACACGUUGCCUGAGAUGGGCAGACAUGUGAAACCAGCCUUACUUUGACGAGUAUACCAGAAGUAGAAGUGACAAACAGCAACUUCUGUGACUAAAUCUAAUGUAGUUAUCCUCUUAUCCUUCUUUGUAAACACUAUAUUGUUAUGUUUGGCCCAAACUAUCUUUAACCAUACCCUUGAAUGACCAACCCCAGCCCUUCAGAGUGUGUGUGUGUGUGUGUGUGUGUGUGUGUGUGUGUGUGUGUGUGUGUGUGUGUGUGUGUGUGUGUGUGUGUGUGUGUGUGUGUGUGUGUGUGUGUGUGUGUGUGUGUGUGUGUGUGUGUGUGUGUGUGGCUUCGCCUCACAAAGUGAGACCACUACAAUGCUCCUCUGUGUGGAAGUUGACUCAUUUGCCUUACUGACCCAAACAGAUUGUGGUUAAGAUGUUGAUGUAAUUUAAACAAGCCACUACUUAUUUCAUUCAUUUAAGUUAUUGGUUUUGUGGCAGAUUCUUUUCCGAUUUUGUAAUGAAAUGAAGGCACCGAAUGUGUAUUUUUAUACAAGACGGAUGCAUGUAUGGUUUUUUUUUUGGGGGGGGGGAGGGGGGGGGGUUGUGAUCUGAGAUAUUAAUGUAAAUUAUUGUCAAAUGAACAUGCUAUGCAGUGCAAUGAGUGAGUUCUUAAUAGUCACUAAAUGUUUUCUUCCAAUUUAUAUUUGUAGCCUAAAUAAUUCUAUUGGAAUCUGAACACCAAGUAAGCUCACAGUGAUUCCUUUUUUUCCUUUUAGUUUGCUGUCUGUAAACUAUACCAGGUUACAGACAGCAAUCCACUAUAUGAAUAAAUCCACCAAAUGCAAAAUGAAUGUAUUCAUCCAUUUUUCAAUUGCUUAUGCCUUCCCCACAACAAGACCACAUGUGUAUAUUUAUUAGGUGUCAAUGGUUGGCCUAGUACUUGAAACAUUCUGUGCCUUAUUUCUUUCAGUCAGGCACUGACAUUUCCAAAUGUUUGUUUUUCUUUGGGAAUGAACAAUAAACACUUUUCUUUUCCUUCA